ACAGAGGAAGUUUUCGGAUGGAAUCAGUAUAACUUAGUGGCGGACGGGUGAGUAACGCGUGGGAAACCUGCCCUGUACCGGGGGAUAACACUUAGAAAUAGGUGCUAAUACCGCAUAAGCGCACAGUACCGCAUGGUACAGUGUGAAAAACUCCGGUGGUGUGAGAUGGAUCCGCGUCUGAUUAGCCAGUUGGCGGGGUAACGGCCCACCAAAGCGACGAUGCAUAGCCGGCCUGAGAGGGCGGACGGCCACAUUGGGACUGAGACACGGCCCAAACUCC
rnacentral:rRNA from 1 species